UACGGAAGGCAGCAGUGGGGAAUUUUGCGCAAUGGGGAAACCCUGACGCAGCAACGCCGCGUGGAGGAUGAAAUCCCUUGGGAUGUAAACUCCUUUCGAUCGGGAAGAUAAUGACGGUACCGAGAGAAGAAGCCCCGGCUAACUUCGUGCCAGCAGCCGCGGUAAUACGAGGGGGCAAGCGUUGUUCGGAAUUAUUGGGCGUAAAGGGUGCGUAGGCGGUUUGAUAAGUUUGGUGUGAAAUCUCUGGGCUCAACCCAGAGUCUGCAUCGAAAACUGUCGGGCUUGAGUAUGGGAGAGGUGAGUGGAAUUUUCCGGUGUAGCGGUGAAAUGCGUAGAUAUCGGAAGGAACACCUGUGGCGAAAGCGGCUCACUGGACCAUAACUGACGCUGAUGCACGAAAGCUAGGGGAGCAAACAGGGAUUAGAUACC
rnacentral:rRNA from 1 species